rnacentral:rRNA from 1 species
CCUACGGGAGGCAGCAGUGGGGAAUAUUGCACAAUGGGGGAAACCCUGAUGCAGCGACGCCGCGUGAGUGAAGAAGUAAUUCGUUACGUAAAGAUCUAUCAGCAGGGAAGAAAAUGACGGUAACUGAGUAAUAAGCCCCGGCGAACUACGUGCCAGCAGCCGCGGGAAUACGUAGGGGGCAAGCGAUAUCCGGAUUUACUGGGUGUAAAGGGAGCGUAGACGGUGCGCCAAGUAUGGAGUGAAAUGCCGCAGCUGAACUGCGGAACUGCUUGGGAAAACGGCGAACUAGAGUGCGGGAGGGGUAAGCGGAAUUCCUGGUGUAGCGGUGAAAUGCGUAGAUAUUAGGAAGAACACCGGUGGCGAAGGCGGCUUACUGGACCGUAACUGACGUUGAGGCUCGAAAGCGUGGGGAGCAAACAGGAUUAGAUACCCGGGUAGUC